rnacentral:rRNA from 1 species
UACGGGGGUGCUAACGUUGUCCGGAAUUAUUGGGCGUAAAGAGCAUGUAGGUGGUUUUAUAAGUCUACGAUCAAAGACCGACGCUUAACGUCGGGACCGUUGUGGAUACUGUAAAACUUGAGGAAAACAGGGGUAAGCGGAACUUUCGGUGUAGGAGUGAAAUCCGUAGAUAUCGAAAGGAACACCAAUGGCGAAGGCAGCUUACUGGGUUUACCUGACACUGAGAUGCGAAAGCGUGGG